ACUGAACGCUGGCGGCAUGCCUUACACAUGCAAGUCGAACGGCAGCAUGGAAGAGCUUGCUCUUCUGAUGGCGAGUGGCGAACGGGUGAGUAAAGCAUCGGAACGUACCGUGUAGUGGGGGAUAACGUAGCGAAAGUUACGCUAAUACCGCAUACGCACUGAGGUGGAAAGCAGGGGAUCGCAAGACCUUGCGCUAUACGAGCGGCCGAUGUCAGAUUAGCUAGUUGGUAGGGUAAAGGCCUACCAAGGCGACGAUCUGUAGCGGGUCUGAGAGGAUGAUCCGCCACACUGGGACUGAGACACGGCCCAGACUCCUACGGGAGGCAGCAGUGGGGAAUUUUGGACAAUGGGCGAAAGCCUGAUCCAGCCAUGCCGCGUGAGUGAAGAAGGCCUUC
rnacentral:rRNA from 1 species